GCGUAGUGGUCACUGCGCUCGCCUUGCACGCGGGAGACCCGGGUUCGAUUCCCGG
rnacentral:tRNA from 1 species